rnacentral:rRNA from 1 species
AGAGUUUGAUCCUGGCUCAGGAUGAACGCUGGCGGCGUGCCUAAUACAUGCAAGUCGAGCGAACAGAUGAGGAGCUUGCUCCUUUGACGUUAGCGGCGGACGGGUGAGUAACACGUGGGUAACCUACCUAUAAGACUGGGAUAACUUCGGGAAACCGGAGCUAAUACCGGAUAAUAUUUCGAACCGCAUGGUUCGAUAGUGAAAGAUGGUUUUGCUAUCACUUAUAGAUGGACCCGCGCCGUAUUAGCUAGUUGGUAAGGUAACGGCUUACCAAGGCAACGAUACGUAGCCGACCUGAGAGGGUGAUCGGCCACACUGGAACUGAGACACGGUCCAGACUCCUACGGGAGGCAGCAGUAGGGAAUCUUCCGCAAUGGGCGAAAGCCUGACGGAGCAACGCCGCGUGAGUGAUGAAGGUCUUCGGAUCGUAAAACUCUGUUAUUAGGGAAGAACAUACGUGUAAGUAACUAUGCACGUCUUGACGGUACCUAAUCAGAAAGCCACGGCUAACUACGUGCCAGCAGCCGCGGUAAUACGUAGGUGGCAAGCGUUAUCCGGAAUUAUUGGGCGUAAAGCGCGCGUAGGCGGUUUUUUAAGUCUGAUGUGAAAGCCCACGGCUCAACCGUGGAGGGUCAUUGGAAACUGGAAAACUUGAGUGCAGAAGAGGAAAGUGGAAUUCCAUGUGUAGCGGUGAAAUGCGCAGAGAUAUGGAGGAACACCAGUGGCGAAGGCGACUUUCUGGUCUGUAACUGACGCUGAUGUGCGAAAGCGUGGGGAUCAAACAGGAUUAGAUACCCUGGUAGUCCACGCUGUAAACGAUGAGUGCUAAGUGUUAGGGGGUUUCCGCCCCUUAGUGCUGCAGCUAACGCAUUAAGCACUCCGCCUGGGGAGUACGACCGCAAGGUUGAAACUCAAAGGAAUUGACGGGGACCCGCACAAGCGGUGGAGCAUGUGGUUUAAUUCGAAGCAACGCGAAGAACCUUACCAAAUCUUGACAUCCUUUGACCGCUCUAGAGAUAGAGUUUUCCCCUUCGGGGGACAAAGUGACAGGUGGUGCAUGGUUGUCGUCAGCUCGUGUCGUGAGAUGUUGGGUUAAGUCCCGCAACGAGCGCAACCCUUAAACUUAGUUGCCAGCAUUCAGUUGGGCACUCUAAGUUGACUGCCGGUGACAAACCGGAGGAAGGUGGGGAUGACGUCAAAUCAUCAUGCCCCUUAUGAUUUGGGCUACACACGUGCUACAAUGGACAAUACAAAGGGCAGCGAAACCGCGAGGUCAAGCAAAUCCCAUAAAGUUGUUCUCAGUUCGGAUUGUAGUCUGCAACUCGACUACAUGAAGCUGGAAUCGCUAGUAAUCGUAGAUCAGCAUGCUACGGUGAAUACGUUCCCGGGUCUUGUACACACCGCCCGUCACACCACGAGAGUUUGUAACACCCGAAGCCGGUGGAGUAACCAUUUUGGAGCUAGCCGUCGAAGGUGGGACAAAUGAUUGGGGUGAAGUCGUAACAAGGUAGCCGUAUCGGAAGGUGCGGCUGGAUCACCU